GCUAACGUAGCUUAUUUAAAGCAUGACGCUGAAGACGUUAAGAUGGGCCCUAGAAAGCUCCGUAGGCA
rnacentral:tRNA from 1 species